GUGUCCCGCCGCCCAUUGGUCUGCGCCCCCGCCGCUCGCGACGCCCCGCCCCCGGCCUGCUCCAGGCCCAGCCCACUGGCGUCCGGUCCUCCGAAUGCGGAUGACGUGUCGCCACUGGCCGGCAGGCUCGCCUUCAUGCCGCCGAUUGGCUGGGACUGACGUCACUUAGGACGACACUGAAGAAGUCGGAAGACCGACUUCCGGCCCCUGGACGGCGCCGCGGCUCUCCGCCGGCCCGGGUCCUGGGUGCGCGGGGCGCGGUGCCGAGCUGCGGCGUCCGUCUUCCUGCCCUCCCUGAGCGCGAGCUACGGCCGCUCCGUGCGGUGGAGCGGGGACCAGUGUAGUCCCCGAACUGCAGUUUCCCCCUCUCAAAUGUUACCCGCAUUCCCAGUGCAUCAGUAAAAAUGCAGGUGAGGUCAGGUGUUGCCACGCGGGCUUGAUUCCUCCGACUCGCGUCGUCUCGGGACACCGGCUCCAACAGCUGGUCAGUAUGGCCAGACCAGCCCGCCGCCGCAGGGGAGCUGUGACCAUUCCUCCGGUUCUGCAGAUGGGACGCUGAGACCCAGAGAGGUUAAGCAGCCCACCCCAAGUCACACAGCCAGUAAAUGGCGCAGCCGAGGCUCAUUCCCAGGAAGCCGCGAACCCGAAGCCAGUGCUGAACCACUGCAGAUACCAUCGGACGGCAGACCCGGCUUGACUUUCGCCACCUCCCCUGACCUCUCGCCGUUUCUCCCGAGCUCACCUGCCUGCCUUCCGACUUCGAACAUUGCACUCCCACCCCGGUGUUUGCGCGAGCUGUCCCUUCAGCCUGGAGAUCGCCUUCCUCCGUUCUGGCUUCAGGGACCUCCCCCCGGAGCCGUUGCACUGUAUCACCAACAGUGGGGACACUGGCCCGGGGGGCCCACUGCAGCCUGACCGGACCAAGGACGAAGUCACAUGGACACACACAGUCACCACUGUAUCAAAUUUAUUAUUCCAAUGGCACGAAUACAGUUGGAGGUGCUCACGGUGACACCGCACCAAGUUUCCUGCCUUCUAGCUUCUGUCCAAAGAGAAAGGUCUACCCACCUGUUCCUUCCCCCUUUCUUUGGGAAAAUCCACUACGGGCCAUUUACCCAAAUAAACCUCUUAAUGCGUUUUUUUUGUGUGUUGGUUCUUUGCUUUUUUUUUUUUUUUUUUGGACAUUUAA